rnacentral:rRNA from 1 species
CCUACGGGAGGCAGCAGUGGGGAAUAUUGGGCAAUGGGCGCAAGCCUGACCCAGCAACGCCGCGUGAAGGAAGAAGGCUUUCGGGUUGUAAACUUCUUUUCUCAGGGACGAAGCAAGUGACGGUACCUGAGGAAUAAGCCCCGGCUAACUACGUGCCAGCAGCCGCGGUAAUACGUAGGUAGCGAGCGUUAUCCGGAUUUACUGGGUGUAAAGGGCGUGUAGGCGGGAUGGCAAGUCAGGCGUGAAAACUAUGGGCUCAACCCAUAGCCUGCGUUUGAAACUGUCGUUCUUGAGUGAUGGAGAGGCAAGCGGAAUUCCGUGUGUAGCGGUGAAAUGCGUAGAUAUACGGAGGAACACCAGUGGCGAAGGCGGCUUGCUGGACAUUAACUGACGCUGAGGCGCGAAAGCGUGGGGAGCAAACAGGAUUAGAUACCCCAGUAGUC